rnacentral:sRNA from 1 species
GGUAUUCCUUAUUUAUCUGUCUAAUGGUUUAUUUGGAGCCUGUCUUCCUGUGCUCUGCGUGAAAACACACGAAGACAGGCUCAUUAGUUUAUGCCCUUCGUCCUUCAAGC